rnacentral:rRNA from 1 species
ACGGUCCUAAGGUAGCGAAAUUCCUUGUCGGGUAAGUUCCGACCUGCACGAAUGGCGUAACGAUGGGGGCGCUGUCUCUACCCGAGACUCAGUGAAAUUGAAAUCGCCGUGAAGAUGCGGUGUAUCCGCGGCUAGACGGAAAGACCCCGUGAACCUUUACUAUAGCUUCACAGUGAACUUUGAGCAUGUUUGUGUAGGAUAGCUGGGAGGCUUUGAAACCAGGACGCCAGUUCUGGUGGAGCCAACCUUGAAAUACCAGCCUGACCUGUUUGAGGUUCUAACUUCGACCCCUUAUCGGGGUUAAGGACACUGUGUGGUGGGUAGUUUGACUGGGGCGGUCUCCUCCCAAAGCGUAACGGAGGAGCACAAAGGUGGGCUAAGCAUGGUCGGACAUCAUGCGGUUAGUGUAAUGGCACAAGCCCGCUUAACUGCGAGACAGACACGUCGAGCAGGUACGAAAGUAGGUCAUAGUGAUCCGGUGGUUCUGUAUGGAAGGGCCAUCGCUCAACGGAUAAAAGGUACUCCGGGGAUAACAGGCUGAUACCGCCCAAGAGUUCACAUCGACGGCGGUGUUUGGCACCUCGAUGUCGGCUCAUCACAUCCUGGGGCUGAAGCCGGUCCCAAGGGUAUGGCUGUUCGCCAUUUAAAGUGGUACGCGAGCUGGGUUUAGAACGUCGUGAGACAGUUCGGUCCCUAUCUGCCGUGGGCGCAGGAGAUUUGAGAAGAGUUGCUCCUAGUACGAGAGGACCGGAGUGAACGAACCUCUGGUGUUCGGGUUGUUACGCCAGUAGCAUUGCCCGGUAGCUACGUUCGGACAGGAUAACCGCUGAAAGCAUCUAAGCGGGAAGCCUCCUUCGAGACGAGAUCUCCCUUAGGACUUGAUCCUACUAAAGUGCCGUUCAAGACUAGGACGUUGAUAGGCUGGGUGUGUAAGUGCAGCGAUGCAUUGAGCUAACCAGUACUAAUUGCACGUGAGGCUUGACCAU